UCAUCCGGUCUGUCUCGCGCCGAACUGCGCAUGUGCAGGCCGUCAAAUCAAAGGCACUGCUUCGAUAUAAAGUUGUUUUUCGACGAAAAUGAAGAUGUCAGUUUGUCACGUUCACGAGGUUGGAGUAAAAUCGUGUUCAACUACUUAACACAUUGGCUCGAGUCUAGGUUUUGCCUUUAGAUUUUGAGAAAAUAAACAACUAUAAGAAAAAAAAUAUCUGAUUGACUUCUCAAACCCCAAUUCCCGGUCUGGGCUGUUUGGGCUGUUUCGCAAGCGUUUCCGAAAGUCUCGUGGUGUUGCGCAUCUGGGUUUAUAAACUCUGUGUUGUAGCAAUGGUAACGGCUGAAAUGUUGCAGAAAGCAGUCCUACCAGUUUUGACCCUUACCUGUUUCUGGACUUUGUACCUGCCUACCUGACCAUUCUGCCUGCCUUGACCACGAGCCUGUCUGCCACUCUCUACCUCCUAGACUCUGAUGUGGUUUUGACCUUUUUGCCUGUCCACGACCGUUCUCUUGCCUACCCCCCGGUUUAAUAAACAUUGUAAGACUCCAACCAUCUACAUCCGGGUCUCGUCUUGUGUCAUGAUAGUACGAACUGGCCAUGACAGACCCAGCAGACUUGGACCAGCUCAGCCACGCUGUCUCCCUGCAGGGAGCCACCAUUGGGAGACAUCAGGAGUUGUUACAUGGCCUUUUGGAAGGGCUCAGUUCCUUGACGGAACGCCACCACCAUGGGUUAAAGGCUAUUAUGGAGCAAAUCAGGGAGUUAGCUCAGACUGUCUGCCACCUCUGAAAAACCCCAAUCACCCAGUUAUUUUUUUCCCUAUCUGUGGUGAGUUUGUACAGCCUAUCCAGACUCCCCGUGAACAACCUCCAGAGCGAUAUUGUGCCUCCCAGGAUUUUCUUUCUAAGUGCUUGCUUAUUGUUGAGCUACAGCCAUCUUCGUUUUAUUCAGACGCUAAUGUCGGGAAGGGCGCUCUCCUGGGAUACAGCAGCUUGGGAACAAAAAUCUGCCAUUUGCGGUCAUUUGGAGGAAUUCAUGGCAGAGGUGAGAAAAGUUUGAGCCUCCGGUAUCCGGGCUAAAGGCGGCCAGCAAACUACUUGACUUACGUCAAAACUCCCAUUGUGCGGCAGACUAUGCGGUGGAUUUUCGCACAUUGGCCGCCAAGAGUGUCUGGAAUCCGGAGUCUCUUUUCGAGACUUUUCUGCACGGAUUAUCUGAGCAGGUAAAGGAUGAGCUAGCUGCUCGGGAACUGCAGGUGGACCUCGACUCUCUUAUCACCUUAACCAUUAACAUUGAUGGACGCCUAAGGGAACACAAGAGUGAGAGGAGGUCUGGUCUCGAACGCACCCGAUAUGGCGCGUUCACCUCCUAUGGAAUCCGGAGGUUGCCGAAGGCAGCUCUUCCAAGAGGAGUUGAAGUCACCCGAGCUCUCUCGUGAAUCUACGACGGGUGAGUUGGAUACUCCUGAGCCUAUGCAGUUGGGAAGAACUAGGCUAUCAGUUUGGGAGUGCUCACAGAUGAUGAAUAAUAAUUGUUGUCUGUACUGUGGCGGGGCUGGACAUAUUAUACAGCUGGGUAUCGAACCAGGGUCUGUAGUGAUGCCUCUAGCACUGUACCCGCCUGCCUGUAAUUGACUAAAACAAGCAAACAAGAAAAUUGCGUUUGAAAAAGGUCAAGUUUUUGCUGUGAGCUAAUGGCUUGUUUUCCCCACAGUAGGGUGGGGCUAACGUUCUAUCACCAAUGGCACCAGCUCAAUGUCAUUCAAUCAUGUACAUUUAAAAAAUUAUAUACUGGACUUGUUUCAUUUGGAAAACGCAAACACUGCUGUUUUCACUCUUCCUGUCCAUAAUUGGUUUUGAGUGGCUUGUGUGAAGUAUACAUUUACAUCAAUCCGUUGUAUAUUUGAGAAAACAUUCAUCACCAAUAAACUGUCCAGUGAGUCA